AUGGCCCCCCACUAGUCAAUCGCGGAAAAAAAAAUCCAGCCCCCACGAUCUUAUCCCGCAUCCAGCAACUGCUCCACCCCUGUAUUCUCUUUCAGUUUCUCUUUCUCCCAUCCCCAGAUCAGAGCUCCUCCGAUCCACCCGCCCCCUUCUCAUCGGCGGGAUCCCCGCUGCUGCCUCACGCACGACCCUCUCCUCCGCGGCCCAGUCCGCUCGAACACCGCCGCCCUCCUCACUGGCGGGAUCCGAGCCGCCAGCCUCACCCGCGGGAUCGGAGCCGCCGGCCACCGCCCACCUCGCCUGAAGGAUAGGAUGCCACUACUCUUCUACACCGUCCACCGGUGGUCCAUCACCUGCUUCACCUGACUGAAAAAUCCUUGCGGUGUUUCGAAGAAGCUGUGGUGGAAAUUCCGGAACCGCUGCGCCGACGGUGGUGUGAUGCCGGCGAUGGGUCCGCUGGCAAUUCAGUAUGCCAGGAUGUCGCUGCCAACUCGAGGUGUGUUCAUAGGAUGAUUCAUAUCAUGCUUGAAAAUGCGCAAUUCUGCCUGCUAAAUCUGGAUAACCAUGAGCUGAUUAUUCCAAAUGAAUGCUAAUUUUGACCCUGCUGGCCUCACGAUUGGUUCCAAAUUUAUUUGUGAGGUUGUAUGCCAGGGGUAUUAGAUCAUAGAAUUUGCUAUUUCUAUGAUUUGUAUCCUGCCUCUCCACUGUACCAUGGAAAUGAUUUGGUGAAAUAUUGAUUGCGAGGGUUUGGAACCAAGUAACUAAAAAACAAUUGGAGCAAAGAGGCAGUGAAUGGAACUCUAGAUACUCAGCUUUUGACUCUCACUCGAAAAGUUCAAAAUAAUAAUCUGGCAGUGUCAUCUGCUUUGAGUAGCUCAGGAUGGGUGGUUAGAAGAGAUCGAAGGGAAGGCGCAAGAACAUGAUAAGAUGCAUGUUGCACAACAAGAGAUGAUAAAGGAGCUGAUAAGAUUAUCAGUUUUUAUUGGUGGCUGUUAGAAGCUGUAGACAAGAUGAUGCAUUUUUAUUAGAUUCAAGUGAGAUUAUUCAGAUUAGCAUAAAAAGUGCAGAGGAUCGUGCAAAGCUUUGUUAUCAUUUGAUUAUUUCACUAUAUAUUUUGUUCAGUUUCGAUGUAAGCAUCAGGCCUUAACAGGAAAUUCAAUUUGAUGUACUUGGCCAUGAUCAACGAACACAAAUAUUACAGAAGAGCACCAAAUGAAUGAGAACUUGACAA